CGUCAAUCCGGCAAGUCUGCUCUCCACCGCUGGGAUGGGAUGUAGGCUGUUUCCUCCCGUCCUUGAGUCCUGUGCACUUUUGACGAUGCUGCUUGUCAAGAAGAACUUUCUGUAGGUUUGUGAUCUGGGGCCAGGGGACUGUGGGGGUGGUUCACUGGGACAGACAAAGCAUCUCCAUAUGCCCGCACCGCUGCCAGCGUGUGUGGACCUUCAUGAGGAAAUAAAGCGGAGGCACCUCCACAGACACAGCCCAAAGCACCAGGAGAAGCGGGAGAAGACCACAACUGAAAGAGGCAGAAGAAGAGGACCACGGGGAAGGCAGACAGCCCUGUCAGCUCAAUCGGACUGACCCUAAGGUACGCUUUCCUCUUCUGUGUCCUACUCUCCUUCUUCUCUUUCAGAAGGUGGGUGGGGACUCGGCGUUUUUACUAGGUGACGUGGGACCAAACGCGGUCCCAGAUCUCUGCGUCCUUCCACUAGGGAAUUUGCCCGCCUGUCCAUCCAGGAAGCCCACUGUCACUAUAAGAGUCUCCCAGCACCAGGAUGGCAAAAGGUAAAGCUGUACUCAGGCAAUCUGCUUAUUAAUAGACUCUGAUUAUUAGGGAUACUAUGGGUUUUCUUCUUGUUUUGUAUCUCUUUGGUUUGAUCAUAUAUUGUAGUCAUGUGACAGUGUCUACGCAUCUGAACGAUAUCCAUUCAGAUCCAGGUUAAUGCUCUUCUAAUCGUUAAUAAUUGAAGGAAUGGAAAACACACUGAGCAUCAUGACAACGACUAAUCCUGGUCAUAUUUAAGAAAAUAAUAGCAGAAGACAAAACGCUCUUGGCAACUCUCUUAAAUGCUCUUCAGGGCCAUGGGGGAUCCAGGGAUUGACUUUGUUUAAAAAAAGCCAAACCAUCCACAGGCAGGCAGGUAUAUUCCCACUGGGGUGGUCUGUAGGGUGUAUCCGUUGGUGAGCCAAAUGAAUGAACGGUGCAGCUAAUUCAACUAAACAUUUGGUUGGUGUCCAUAUUGGAAAAGCUGAUUUUUUUCUAUAGUGUAUCAAACACAUUUUUGGUGAGUCAGAGAUGGGCUGGGCUGUGUGUUUCACACCGUCUGUGUCACUCUGUGAGAUGAGACACAGGAAUGCGGACGACGGCGCCCGUGACCCGUCACUGGCGCCUAACCUCAGAUGGCCUGAGUCUUCACUCCUCAGGGGGGCAGAAGACCCAGUGGUUUGCGUAGCAGUGCAAAGCAGCCACUAGCCUAUUCCUAGAUAAUUUAUUAUGUUAAACAGGUCGUUCCGCUGAAUCUGGACUGUAAAACAUCCGUAGCGUAUGAUACGCAAACUGUGCAUGCGUUUCGGUGCAUCUUCUCGGACCCCCGGACCCUACAGCUACAGCCUGGAGCCCGCGGCCCGCCCCGCCUGCCCAGUGUUCAGACUACCUGUUCAGGAAGUAGCGGUUGUACAGUAGUCUGCACAUUGGUUAGGCUGUGUGGGGGAGCACGCCGCCAAGCCCCUCAAUCUGGCCGCCGGAGUCGCACGUACAUGAGUGUUCAGCUCUCUUAUCUGUCUGAUCUGGAAUGUAAGCAAGAAUGCAAUAAAUGUUCCCAUUUUCA